AACUGCUGGACAAGGAGUGUUCUGUUGAGCUCAUUUUCACACGAUGAACAACUGGCUUAGAACUGAUUCGGGCAAGGGGAAUCCGACUGUUUAAUUGAAACAAAGCAUUGCGAGGGCCUCAAAGGGUGGUGCCACAAUGUGAUUUCUGCCCAGUGCUCUGAAUGUCAAAGUGAGGAAAUUCAACUAAGCGCGGGUAAACGGCGGGAGUAACUAUGACUCUCUUAAGGUAGCCAAAUGCCUCGUCAUCCAAUUAGUGACGCGCAUGAAUGGAUUAAUGAGAUUCCCACUGUCCCCAUCUACUGUCCAGCGAAACCACAGCCAAGGGAACGGGCUUGGGUAAAUCAGCGGGGAAAGAAGACCCUGUUGAGCUUGACUCUAAUCUGACUUUGUGAAAUGACUUAGGAGGUGUAGGAUAUGUGGGAGCUCUGGUGAUCUUGAAAUACCACUACUCUUAAUGUCACUUUACUUACUCNAUCAGACUGUGGCCUGCUUCCCAGCAGGUUUUUGUUUCAAGGCAUCUCAUCUGACUUGUUGACUUGCGUAGAGGACGUAGUCAGGUGGGCAGUUUGGCUGGGGCGGCACAUCUGUUAAAGGAUAACGCAGGUGUCCCAAGGUAAGCUCAAGGAGAACAGAAAUCUCAUGUGGAUCAGAAGGGGAAAUGCUUGCUUGAUUUUGCUUUUCAGUGUGAAGACAAACUGUGCAAACAUGGCCUAUCGAUCCUUUGG
rnacentral:rRNA from 1 species